AUCCCAUGUUUACUACUACUUGCUACCUCUAUAAUUUGAGAUUUCGAGUAUUUUUGCGAUGCAUGGAAAAUAAAAGACUAAAAUGGCCAGGUUUCUUUUCAUAUUCCAAAUUGAUGAAAAGUUACAAUGUCAUUUCACAAAA
rnacentral:snoRNA from 14 species